UUCGAUCUUAAAUAGCCAGCCCUUGAAAUCGCUUCCCUCAAAUCGUGGGCACUCGAUCUUAGAAUAUUUGGUAUGCGUUGUGGUUGCCAUAAGAGAACCACCCAGUUUCAUCAAUGAUUUGGUUCCAUUCACAUCCAUCGUCUCAUUUUGUUUGACCAUCGAAGAAACUGCUUCUUCCACAUUCCUUGCUUCUGAUAUCUUUAAUGAACUCUCUAACUUUGAAGCGAGUUGUUUAAACAUCUUGCUCCGAUUGGUGCCAAUUUUCUCCAGCCAACUUGCUAACCAUUAUGUAGUUCUUCUCGUAGCUGGGUUGUUGUUUGGCUCAACUUGGAAUUCAGCUCUUUUCGCAAUUGACCUAGUUCUUUCUGUGCUAUGGUGGUUACGCCUUCCGCCAUCGUCGAAUCGUCUGCUCUGAUAGCAAAUGAUAGGAGCUAAAUCGUGUUGGAGAAGAUUAGCUGCAACAGAAUACCUACAUAGCUUGAUAAGAGAAAGAAGAAGAAUAAUUCAUAGAAAGAAUAGAGAAUUUUCUAUAGAUUAUAUUUCAUUGACUGGAUUCAAUCCUUGCCGAUACACCUAUAUACCAACAGAAUAAUGACUCAACAAAGACCAAGGACCCGUGUAAUUAGCA
rnacentral:lncRNA from 1 species